AUCCAGAUUACGAGUCCCAAAUAUGGCGAAACGUACGUCCUGGAU
rnacentral:hammerhead_ribozyme from 1 species